rnacentral:tRNA from 1 species
GGGGUUGGGGCUCAGUGGAAGAGACUCUGCUUUGUGUACAGAAGGUCCCAAGUUCAAUCCCUGGCAUCCCCA